rnacentral:rRNA from 1 species
GGUUAAGCGACUAAGCGUACACGGUGGAUGCCCUGGCAGUCAGAGGCGAUGAAGGACGUGCUAAUCUGCGAAAAGCGUCGGUAAGGUGAUAUGAACCGUUAUAACCGGCGAUGUCCGAAUGGGGAAACCCAGUGCAAUUCGUUGCACUAUCGUUAACUGAAUACAUAGGUUAACGAGGCGAACCGGGGGAACUGAAACAUCUAAGUACCCCGAGGAAAAGAAAUCAACCGAGAUUCCCCCAGUAGCGGCGAGCGAACGGGGAGCAGCCCAGAGUCUGAAUCAGCUUGUGUGUUAGUGGAACGGUCUGGAAAGUCCGACGGUACAGGGUGAUAGUCCCGUACACCAAAAUGCACAGGCUGUGAACUCGAAGAGUAGGGCGGGACACGUGGUAUCCUGUCUGAAUAUGGGGGGACCAUCCUCCAAGGCUAAAUACUCCUGACUGACCGAUAGUGAACCAGUACCGUGAGGGAAAGGCGAAAAGAACCCCGGCGAGGGGAGUGAAAAAGAACCUGAAACCGUGUACGUACAAGCAGUGGGAGCACCUUCGGGUGUGACUGCGUACCUUUUGUAUAAUGGGUCAGCGACUUAUAUUCUGUAGCAAGGUUAACCGUAUAGGGGAGCCGCAGGGAAACCGAGUCUUAACUGGGCGUUAAGUUGCAGGGUAUAGACCCGAAACCCGGUGAUCUAGCCAUGGGCAGGUUGAAGGUUGGGUAACACUAACUGGAGGACCGAACCGACUAAUGUUGAAAAAUUAGCGGAUGACUUGUGGCUGGGGGUGAAAGGCCAAUCAAACCGGGAGAUAGCUGGUUCUCCCCGAAAGCUAUUUAGGUAGCGCCUCGUGAACUCAUCUUCGGGGGUAGAGCACUGUUUCGGCUAGGGGGUCAUCCCGACUUACCAACCCGAUGCAAACUACGAAUACCGAAGAAUGUUAUCACGGGAGACACACGGCGGGUGCUAACGUCCGUCGUGAAGAGGGAAACAACCCAGACCGCCAGCUAAGGUCCCAAAGUCAUGGUUAAGUGGGAAACGAUGUGGGAAGGCACAGACAGCCAGGAUGUUGGCUUAGAAGCAGCCAUCAUUUAAAGAAAGCGUAAUAGCUCACUGGUCGAGUCGGCCUGCGCGGAAGAUGUAACGGGGCUAAACCAUGCACCGAAGCUGCGGCAGCGACACUAUGUGUUGUUGGGUAGGGGAGCGUUCUGUAAGCCUGCGAAGGUGACCUGUGAGGGUUGCUGGAGGUAUCAGAAGUGCGAAUGCUGACAUAAGUAACGAUAAAGCGGGUGAAAAGCCCGCUCGCCGGAAGACCAAGGGUUCCUGUCCAACGUUAAUCGGGGCAGGGUGAGUCGACCCCUAAGGCGAGGCCGAAAGGCGUAGUCGAUGGGAAACAGGUUAAUAUUCCUGUACUUGGUGUUACUGCGAAGGGGGGACGGAGAAGGCUAUGUUAGCCGGGCGACGGUUGUCCCGGUUUAAGCAUGUAGGCUGGUUAUCCAGGCAAAUCCGGAUAAUCAAGGCUGAGGUGUGAUGACGAGGCACUACGGUGCUGAAGUAACAAAUGCCCUGCUUCCAGGAAAAGCCUCUAAGCAUCAGGUAACAUUAAAUCGUACCCCAAACCGACACAGGUGGUCAGGUAGAGAAUACCAAGGCGCUUGAGAGAACUCGGGUGAAGGAACUAGGCAAAAUGGUGCCGUAACUUCGGGAGAAGGCACGCUGGUGUGUAGGUGAAGCCCCUGCGGGUGGAGCUGAGACCAGUCGAAGAUACCAGCUGGCUGCAACUGUUUAUUAAAAACACAGCACUGUGCAAACACGAAAGUGGACGUAUACGGUGUGACGCCUGCCCGGUGCCGGAAGGUUAAUUGAUGGGGUUAUCCGUAAGGAGAAGCUCUUGAUCGAAGCCCCGGUAAACGGCGGCCGUAACUAUAACGGUCCUAAGGUAGCGAAAUUCCUUGUCGGGUAAGUUCCGACCUGCACGAAUGGCGUAAUGAUGGCCAGGCUGUCUCCACCCGAGACUCAGUGAAAUUGAACUCGCUGUGAAGAUGCAGUGUACCCGCGGCAAGACGGAAAGACCCCGUGAACCUUUACUAUAGCUUGACACUGAACAUUGAGCCUUGAUGUGUAGGAUAGGUGGGAGGCUUUGAAGCGUGGACGCCAGUCUGCGUGGAGCCAACCUUGAAAUACCACCCUUUAAUGUUUGAUGUUCUAACGUUGGCCCCUUACCGGGGUUGCGGACAGUGUCUGGUGGGUAGUUUGACUGGGGCGGUCUCCUCCCAAAGCGUAACGGAGGAGCACGAAGGUUAGCUAAUCCUGGUCGGACAUCAGGAGGUUAGUGCAAUGGCAUAAGCUAGCUUGACUGCGAGCGUGACGGCGCGAGCAGGUGCGAAAGCAGGUCAUAGUGAUCCGGUGGUUCUGAAUGGAAGGGCCAUCGCUCAACGGAUAAAAGGUACUCCGGGGAUAACAGGCUGAUACCGCCCAAGAGUUCAUAUCGACGGCGGUGUUUGGCACCUCGAUGUCGGCUCAUCACAUCCUGGGGCUGAAGUAGGUCCCAAGGGUAUGGCUGUUCGCCAUUUAAAGUGGUACGCGAGCUGGGUUUAGAACGUCGUGAGACAGUUCGGUCCCUAUCUGCCGUGGGCGCUGGAGAAUUGAGGGGGGCUGCUCCUAGUACGAGAGGACCGGAGUGGACGCAUCACUGGUGUUCGGGUUGUCAUGCCAAUGGCACUGCCCGGUAGCUAAAUGCGGAAGAGAUAAGUGCUGAAAGCAUCUAAGCACGAAACUUGCCCCGAGAUGAGUUCUCCCUGAGACUUUAAGUCUCCUGAAGGAACGUUAAAGACGAUGACGUUGAUAGGCCGGGUGUGUAAGCGCAGCGAUGCGUUGAGCUAACCGGUACUAAUGAACCGUGAGGCUUAACCUU